CUUGUGCGUAUGCUUCAGGUGAAAGAAAUCUGAAAGCACUACCAGCGCUUUGAAAAGUUGAUGUAAUUAUAGUUUCCUGUGGAUAUAUUGUCUCAAAUUCCUACCGCCAAAAGGACCAACCGCACGGACCACCGGUAAAAAUGUGGUAUGCAAACUGCCAAGGAAACAACUACACAGAAAGAUGUAAAUGUACCAAAAGCAUGGGGCGAAGUGAAAAGAUUCAAAGUGGAAAUCACUCUGGACCCAAAGUCUGCUCACCCUAACCUAGACGUGUAUGCAAGUAAAAUGAAGUCAAAAGUAACUGAUGUUCCCAUGACUCUUCAUGUCUUUAGUGAGGACAGAUUCCGCUCCGGACAG